rnacentral:lncRNA from 1 species
GUACGCCAUGUCUCGCUAGGAGACUGCAACCCGCCUAGGUACUCUUUCCCUGCGGUGUGCACUUGGCAAAGGUUGCCGAAAAAGAAGUUUACGAAGUGUUUAUUUUUUUCUUGGACAGGUUGGAAGACUGAACAUCGAGUAUUUGAAAACGCCAAGUUUUACAGAAGUCUCAGUAUAUUACAAAGUGCUCCAACAUGAAGAAAGACAUCGGCAACGAGCUGAAGCUUCCCUGGAAAGUUCAUUUAAAGAACCGUCGGCGUGUGUCGGGCGCCGUGGAAGGCACUGCACAUUUGUAUUCAUGUUUUAUUCUGACAAACACACUGUUGUUUAUGCUGAGAUAAAAAUGCCAAAGCCAAGGAAGGGUCCUGCUGGUUUUAGUUCUUCACGUCCAUAUAUUUCCCUAGAGAUUUUUAUUGUUUUCCUUCCUUCUUCUUGAAACCAUGAUCUCUUUUUUGUAUAAUUGUGCCCCCCCCCCCCAAAUAUAUCAAUCCAAC